CGUAAUAAAAUUUAGUUGUCCCAAAUAAUUUUUAGUUUAAUAGAAUUCAACAAAACCAAUUUAAUUGUCCAAAGAGAAAUUUUUUCUCAGUGUAUAUAUUCGACUUAUACUCCGACUUAUAUCUCUAUAAAUUUUAUGGUUUAGGUUCCCUGGCAACAUAUUUCUUAAACUCUCGAUUUCUCUGAAAAAAAUACAGACUUCCUUUAUGAGAGAACCUCUUAGCGUUUGCCUCCAGCAUAAAUCAGGAUCUGCUCAUCUGUCGUUUUUGACUCUAAGCAAUUUGAAGAGAUAUUCAUGAUUUCGCGGUACCCAGAUACGCCAACGAGUUGCAGGAAUGUUGACAUCAAUUUUCAGAGAAAGUUGUAGCCAACAGUUGGAUAGUCGAAUGUUUUCUUCAACUUGACAGCACGUUCACCGAAGCUGUUUCUCCGUAACAAGUUCCGGAAUAUAGUUGAAUGAUCAAGUAAAAUAUAAGCGGUUAAUUUAAAUUCACUAUUGCAACAUCAAAGUAUUUGAUUUAAAAUAAAGUAAAAUUUAUUUAAUUACAAAUUAACAAAUUAGUUUACAUUGAUUAAUAAUUACAUAGACCAGUUAAAAAUAUUAAUAUAAUUGUAAAUAUUGCAUUAAAAAUAUAAUUGAUUAAUAUAAUCUAUAAUUUUUUUAGAUGUACACAAUUGCUUCU